UACGAAGGGGGCUAGCGUUGCUCGGAAUCACUGGGCGUAAAGCGCACGUAGGCGGUUUGUUAAGUCAGGGGUGAAAUCCUGGAGCUCAACUCCAGAACUGCCUUUGAUACUGGCGAGCUUGAGUCCGGGAGAGGUGAGUGGAACUGCGAGUGUAGAGGUGAAAUUCGUAGAUAUUCGCAAGAACACCAGUGGCGAAGGCGGCUCACUGGCCCGGUACUGACGCUGAGGUGCGAAAGCGUGGGGAGCAAACAGG
rnacentral:rRNA from 1 species